rnacentral:rRNA from 1 species
GUCCACGCCGUAAACGGUGGGCGCUAGGUGUGGGAACAUUCCACGUUCUCCGUGCCGCAGCUAACGCAUUAAGCGCCCCGCCUGGGGAGUACGGCCGCAAGGCUAAACUCAAAGGAAUUGACGGGGCCCGGCACAAGCGGCGGAGCAUGCGGCUUAAUUCGAUGCAACGCGAAGAACCUUACCAGGCCUUGACAUGCAGAGAACUUUUCCAGAGAUGGAUUGGUGCCUUCGGGAACUCUGACACAGGUGCUGCAUGGCUGUCGU